GCUAACUUAGGAGAUUAUUAUAAAUAGCUGAAUUUUUUUACUUUGUAAAAAACUUUUUGACAUUUUAAUUAGCGAAUUGCUGCCAAAUUUGUGAGGCAUUUUCUCUCAAAUUUCGUUCGAAGCCCGUAAGGCUUAUCUAAGCUUUUAGUGGCGUCUUUCCGAGUCUUUUCCGAACUUAUCACUCCUUAAACCCGAGUGUGGCGUUCACCUUUGAUACCUUUGGUUCAUACUUUCCUAAGUAUCGGGUCAAGGUCCUUUUUUAACCAUUUCCAAUUCAUUUAGG
rnacentral:lncRNA from 1 species